rnacentral:rRNA from 1 species
UAUGUGAUCGUCUCUCGCAUAUCAAUAAGCGGAGGAAAAGAAACUAACAAGGAUUCCCUUAGCAACGGCGAGUGAAGCGGGAAGAGCUCAAAUUUGAAAUCUUCAAGGUUUUUACCUUGACGAAUUGUAGUUUAAAGAAGUGUUUUCUGUUGAAGUUUUGGUAAAAGUUCUUUGGAAUAGGACAUCAUAGAGGGUGAGAAUCCCGUAUUUGACCAUUAUUUUCAGCUGUGUGAUACACUUUCAAAGAGUCGGAUUGUUUGGGAAUGCAGUCCAAAAUGGGUGGUAAAUUUCAUCUAAAGCUAAAUAUUGGCGAGAGACCGAUAGCGAACAAGUACCGUGAGGGAAAGAUGAAAAGAACUUUGAAAAGAGAGUUAAACAGUACGUGAAAUUGUCAAAAGGGAAGCGUUUGACACCAGUGUUGUUUUCUCGAAAAUCAAUUAAAAAGAGUUAGAUUUUGUUGUGUAUUGACCUUAACAGCUUGCAUUUCAAUUUUCUUGCUUUUUUUAAUGCACUUUUCGUUUAACAAGUCAACAUCAGUUUCUUUUGUUGUAAAAAGGUCAUUGGAAGGUGGCUUUCUUUUCGGAGAAAGUGUUUAUAGCCUUUGACUCCUGCAAUCGGAGAGACUGAGGUCUGCAGCGUAGAUCCUUCGGGGUUAGAUACAUUUGUGCUAAGUUAUAGCUUUUUAUAGACAACUUGUUGACUAUGAUUAGUCUUGUAGCUUACUCGCUUAUGCUAUUUUACCUACGCUUAGGAUGUUGAAGAUGUAGCACAUCAU